ensembl:lncRNA
GCUUGAUUUGGGGUUUCCAGGUGAUAUCCAGCAGUCUGCGCUGACGGUCGAUCUCUUCCUCGUACUGGACGAUCGUUUUUUCAAACUCCAAGAAUAUUUGUUCAGCAGCAGCAGUUAGUCGCUCGUUGAUGAACUCUCUCAGAUACUGAACUGAAGGCAUCGUUGCUGCCGCAGCUCACACACUCAGCUCACACACUCAGCUCACACAACAACACAAAGCCUCCAAAAGUUCACGCUGGAACAACCAUACUGCCGCCUUUUCAUUGUUUACUUCCACCGGAUGUCCCGCUCUGAAGUUCCGGCAGGAGGAGGAUGUUCAAAUACUUUGUUCCGCUUGGAAUAAACGUCCUUCUUUCUUCCUAAAAACCUAUUUAAAUGUACCAAACUGAGCCAUAAAUACAUAAACAGCGUGUUACUGCCACAGCUCACACACUCGGCUCACACACAGCACAACACACUUCUGGUUCAGUCCAAGUAUUUCGCCGGUGCUUCCACCGGAUAUGACGCGGCGCUGCCCUCCGGAGACCGUUAACUGCGUCGACCUCUGAGCAGAAAAUGAAAGAUGAGAUAAAAACAAAGAACAGACCAGUAAGAAACAAUGAUGACUGCUAAAAACAAGCGCGUCCAUGCUCACAGGUGUACACACGGGUGAUCACACCCACAAACUACACCCUUUUUGGCUCCUACCUCAAAGCACACUGUGUUCUGUUGAUCUUAUGUGCUGCACAAUGAUGUUUAAUAUUUAGUAUUUACUGUCAUAUUCCCAUAUAUCAUUGUGAUGUUGUUUAUUCUAUUACUCUUGUUCUCUUCUGCUUGCUUUCUUUUUUCUUUCUCAGCAGGUGACCCAGGUGAUUGAUAUAUGCAUUUUUUUUCUCUGCCCGUUCUGUUGGUUUUUGUCUUUUGCCCUUCUCCCCCGUCCCUCUUCUCAGCUGUUUCUCUUUCCCUCUUUCUUUCUCCCCUUCUUUCCUCCAGUCAAGUCUGUCCCGUAUUCAGUAAGUGAAAAUAAAAUAAACAAUAAAAGGUGAAUCAAAUGGACCAUUAUGGCAAGGCUGGGAUGGUCAGUUUGGUAAAGUAAAUCCGUUGGGCAUCUUUCUUUGCCUUUAGACAACAAUUCUGAUGCAAAAGAGCCAAACGGGACAGGCAAAAAAAAAGAAAAAAAAGAAACAAUGAUGACGUCAGAGGGCGAGACAGCUGGAGAGGUUUUUUUUUAACUUAUUUUCAAAAUAAAGGUUUAAAUAUUCAAGACCUUAGUGAAGCUGUAAAGAGAAUAUAAAUCCACGUUCAUGUUCACUGUAAGAGAGGCCAUUAUGAACAAAGCAGUGACACCAGACCCACGCAGGAAACAGUUUAAUAUACACAUACACUACAAACAUCUGGGCUGCAUCACUGGAGACAGCUGCUGAACUGGUUUCUUUCAGUCUGGGAGGAAAACAGCUGGAGGUGAGAGAGGGAGGGUGACCUACUUCCCCUCUGCUGCACCAGCACUCAGGCAGGAGGGAUCUACUCUUUGAGAGUGCUACGAGCUGGCUGUUCCAAUAUCAGAAUGCUUUUUGUUUAUUUAUACCGGUGCUUUACACAGUUUCAUUUACAUGAUGAUUUCUCUAAUGGUCAGAACAAUUACCACCACUGUGUAGAUAAGGACCUCUCCCCCACCUUCCAUCCACCAAAUUACAAGUUUUUGUGAAAUAAUUUGUGCAAAGUAAAGCAAGCAUCCAAAAUAAAACCAGGACGUUAAAACUCUUAACAGCACCUGGGACGUCCUGAAACAGCUCAGUUAGAAGGCAGCUGUAGGUUUAGGUUUAGUCACAUUAAAAGACAAAUAUCAUCUGAUUUGGUUUAUUACACAAUUUGAAGCAUAAAAGAAAUAAAAAGGAUGCAAAGACAGAUAAAAUCAGACUGUAGUCGUGUGACUGCUGAACACGCAGCUUUUCCUGUUUCACUGCUUUAAAUGAAGCCUUUACUCCGUUUCACAGAAUAGCGCUCCCAUCACUUAACUGUUCUUGAGUUUGAGAGUUUCUGCUGUACGAGCAUCUUGUGCUAGGACAGACAGAAAGUUGCCAUGGAAACAGUCCACCUUUCACAUGGAUUUCUCCUUUUUCCGUGUUUCACAUGAAUCCGGCUUCUCGCCUGUGUGGGCUCUCACGUGGACGCUCAGGUGAGAGCGAGACAAAAUUCACCUGUGUGGAUUCUGUCCUUCCCACAACCAUCACAGUUUACAGGCUUUUCACCCGUGUCAGAGUUACACCGACUCUCUGAUGGGGGGGGAACCUCCUGCUGUCACUUCUGUUUCUAAUUUUCCCGAGUCUGCACUCCUGCCUCCUUCCAGAUCCUGGCUCUCAGCUCCAGCAGAGCUGUGACAGAGGAGCUGCUCCUCGUCUCCUCCUGGUUCACUGUGCUCUCCUUCCUCAGCAGCAGUCACCAUGAAGGUAUCCGUCUCCUCCUUCAGUCCCAGCUGCUCUCCCUCCUGACUGCUGCACAGUUCCUCCUGUUCCUCUUUAAUCUGUGGAGCUUCUGGUUCCUCCUGCUCCACACUGGAGCUCCUCUCCUGGUUCCAGAGCUGCUGUUCAGGGAGAACCUCCUCCUCCUCCGCACAGACACGCUGCUGACAGAAGUACUUAUUUUUAUUCGAAAUAAGUACCACGUGGAACCUUCAGAGGCUCACACACCCUCCGUGCCUUUAAAUAAAUGUGUGUGUUGAGCAGCUGCUCAGUCUGAUUGUAGAGCAGCGUCCACAGAAAUGUGCGCUGUUAGCUUACCGAUGAACUGUGCGAUCACUGCGGAACGUUUCUGUUAUUAUAGACAUUUAUGUGAAUUUACCUUCAGCUGUGCUGUAAGCUCAGACCUGCUCUGUGAGGCUCCUCAUCACCAGAGUCUUCCUCAGACUCCAUCAUCUCCUCCUCUUCCUCGCUGAUAAACUCUCUGAGACGCUGAACAGCAGACAUGUUAC